rnacentral:lncRNA from 1 species
UUUCUUAAAAAGAAAAAAAAAAUCAGUAAUAUCUUGAUUUUUCGAUUUUGUUUUUUUUCAGGCAGUUAAAGUUUUUUUGGAGAACGCUCCUGAUGCUAAAGAGGAGUGCAAGAUUUAUGGAGAAAGCAUAUUGCUGUACAAAAAUUUUCUUGACAGAGUAUUAUGCAUGAUUGAGAAAUCCUCGAGUCUAGGUAUACUUGCUAUGUCCAUUAAUCUAAUUUUUUUUUUUAUAGUUUAAGAUAGCACAAAAUACUUUGUCAUCCAGCUUAUUAUGCAUUUACAUUAUAGUGGCCUUUUCAAUAUCUGUUGCUAUUUACAUAUACUUUUGCAUGUUCUUUCUAUCUAAUUUGCUUACUUGUUUGGUAUUACCUUCAUCUUUUAAAUAGAGUCAAGCUAUUCCCAAAAGUCCUGUCAGACCUCUCUGACCAUAACACUCAACCUAGCCAAAAAGGUUGAGAACUGGAUUGCAUCGUUUCCAUAAAGAGUCUCAUAUCGUUGGGAACUUGAUUUUCGCUUUGUUGUAACUUUCUAGGAAAGAUUCCUGCAAGAAAAAGGUUUGUAGAAAAAUUCACUCCCUUACCAAUCUCUCUUGCUUUGCUCAAAUCAGCUUUCACUCUCUUUUGAGCUCACCCACUCUUUACCUCUCAGUCUUCUUCCCACAAGUUGAGUGUCAGAUAUGAUUCUCUUAAAUUAAGAUAUUCAAAUUUUGUUUUAAGACACGUCAAGAAAUCCUAUGAAAAGAAAGUAUGGCACAAUUUCUUGAAGUAAGAGUUUAACACACGAAUGAGAAGUAGAGUGUGUCUAUUUUGUUAUGCUAAGCAACUAGGAUGCAAUUAGUUAUUUAGUGGUGUCUUGGAGUUAGAGCUUAAAAAAAGAAAAAAACUUAGAGUGCAAGAAAAGACAAUUAUGGAAAUAAUAAAUGGAUCGGUUUUUUUCCUAAGGAGGAAACCAAGGAAGUUACUAAUUUUUAAUCCCGAUGUACGUUACAUUCUAAAAUGUUGCUACAGUCUAAUGCUAAUGAGAUGUGUAUGUAUAUUAUUUUUGUAUAACUUUCGAUCUACACUCUCUCUCAUAUGUAUCUAUUUCUGUGACCUUGAGUAGGCCAAUUCGGCCGCCCUGGGUUAACUCUCAUAAACGCGUACGGGACACGGUACUUCACAUGUGAUAACAAAUCUUUUUGAUCUAGUUUGUGAAGGCAGGAGAACGAAAGGGUUGAGAAUCUAUGAAAAUAGGAAGGGUUUUCGAAAAUCAAUCUUUCUAGACAAGGGGGAGCUUAGAUGGUUCGUAGAUGGCCUGGAAGAGUUU